AGGCUUAACACAUGCAAGUCGAGGGGCAUCGGGCCGUAAGCUUGCUUUCUUUGCCGGCGACCGGCGCACGGGUGAGUAACACGUAUCCAACCUGCCCUUUACUCGGGGAUAGCCUUUCGAAAGAAAGAUUAAUACCCGAUGGCAUAAUGAUUCCGCAUGGUUUCAUUAUUAAAGGAUUCCGGUAAAGGAUGGGGAUGCGUUCCAUUAGGUUGUUGGUGAGGUAACGGCUCACCAAGCCUUCGAUGGAUAGGGGUUCUGAGAGGAAGGUCCCCCACAUUGGAACUGAGACACGGUCCAAACUCCUACGGGAGGCAGCAGUGAGGAAUAUUGGUCAAUGGGCGGUAGCCUGAACCAGCCAAGUAGCGUGAAGGAUGAAGGCUCUAUGGGUCGUAAACUUCUUUUAUAUAAGAAUAAAGUGCAGUAUGUAUACUGUUUUGUAUGUAUUAUAUGAAUAAGGAUCGGCUAACUCCGUGCCAGCAGCCGCGGUAAUACGGAGGAUCCGAGCGUUAUCCGGAUUUAUUGGGUUUAAAGGGAGCGUAGGUGGACUGGUAAGUCAGUUGUGAAAGUUUGCGGCUCAACCGUAAAAUUGCAGUUGAUACUGUCAGUCUUGAGUACAGUAGAGGUGGGCGGAAUUCGUGGUGUAGCGGUGAAAUGCUUAGAUAUCACGAAGAACUCCGAUUGCGAAGGCAGCUCACUGGACUGCAACUGACACUGAUGCUCGAAAGUGUGGGUAUCAAACAGGAUUAGAUACCCUGGUAGUCCACACAGUAAACGAUGAAUACUCGCUGUUUGCGAUAUACAGUAAGCGGCCAAGCGAAAGCAUUAAGUAUUCCACCUGGGGAGUACGCCGGCAACGGUGAAACUCAAAGGAAUUGACGGGGGCCCGCACAAGCGGAGGAACAUGUGGUUUAAUUCGAUGAUACGCGAGGAACCUUACCCGGGCUUAAAUUGCAGUGGAAUGAUGUGGAAACAUGUCAGUGAGCAAUCACCGCUGUGAAGGUGCUGCAUGGUUGUCGUCAGCUCGUGCCGUGAGGUGUCGGCUUAAGUGCCAUAACGAGCGCAACCCUUAUCUUCAGUUACUAACAGGUCAUGCUGAGGACUCUGGAGAGACUGCCGUCGUAAGAUGUGAGGAAGGUGGGGAUGACGUCAAAUCAGCACGGCCCUUACGUCCGGGGCUACACACGUGUUACAAUGGGGGGUACAGAAGGCAGCUAGCGGGUGACCGUAUGCUAAUCCCAAAAUCCUCUCUCAGUUCGGAUCGAAGUCUGCAACCCGACUUCGUGAAGCUGGAUUCGCUAGUAAUCGCGCAUCAGCCACGGCGCGGUGAAUACGUUCCCGGGCCUUGUACACACCGCCCGUCAAGCCAUGGGAGCCGGGGGUACCUGAAGUACGUAACAACAAGGAUCGUCCUAGGGUAAAACUGGUGACUGGGGC
rnacentral:rRNA from 1 species